ensembl:misc_RNA Metazoa_SRP Metazoan signal recognition particle RNA
GCUGGGCAUGGUGGCGCGUGCCUGUACUCCCAGCUACUUGGGAGGCUGAGGCAGGAGAAUUGCUUGAGCCAGGGAGGCGGAGGUUGCAGUAAGCCAAGAUUGUGCCACUGCACUCCAACCUGGCACCUGGCAACAGAGCAAGAUUCUGUCUCAA